rnacentral:misc_RNA from 1 species
CCGAGUAUCGGUACUCUCGGGUACCUACUCCCACCAUUUGUGAACCUUUUUCGUUGCCUCGGCGGACCGAUGGUACCCCCAUCCUUCGGCGUAAAGUUGAAGAGUGUCUGCCAGAGGAUUUUCAAACCAGUCUUAUUUUAAUAAGUCA